rnacentral:rRNA from 1 species
UACGUAGGUGACAAGCGUUGUCCGGAUUUACUGGGCGUAAAGAGCGCGCAGGCGGUCGAUCAAGUCGAGUGUGAAAGCCCCCGGCUCAACUGGGGAGGGUCAUUCGAUACUGAUCGACUCGAAGGCAGGAGAGGGUGAGUGGAAUUCCCGGUGUAGUGGUGAAAUGCGUAGAUAUCGGGAGGAACACCAGUGGCGAAGGCGACUACCUGGCCUGUUCUUGACGCUGAGGCGCGAAAGCUAGGGGAGCAAACGGGG